CAAUUCUAAAAACAGGCAUGGCUCAAAGAACUCCUUGCCUCAUUAUAAGUAUGGGUCUAAGUACUUUCAUUGUUUAGCAAGGAGUUUUCUCCCCUAAAGUAGUCUUAAGUACGGGUGGAGUAGAGGUCCUCCCAUUUCUGAUCCUGGCGAGUUCUCACAUCAAAAUGGGGAAUGUUCCCAGUAGGGAAUUGUUCCAAUUGAGAAUUCCCCGAUGGGGAAAUUUUUAACAUUCGCAAGUCUGAGAAAUUUCAAGAUUUACAAUGGAGAGUGAUAAUGUAUAAGAAGACUGGAAAGAUAUGAUGCCAGUGUGUGAAAGAACUUUAAAACCAAACAAAAGAGUUUGUAUUUGAACUCAGAGAUUGUAGGAAGUCAUUGGAAUUUAUUAAGUGAAGAAAGAGGAAAUGAUCUGAUCUGAUCUGUGAUUUAUGAAAAUCAGUUGAGAAAUCAUCAUGUGGAGGAUGGAAUGGAAUGAGAAGAGCUUAGAGGCAGUUAGGUGGCAAUUGUAAUAGACAAGUCAAAGAGAAUGAAGACCUGAACUAAAAUGGUGAAUGGAGAAAUAGAGAUGGAUGCAAGAGAUGAUAUGGCUUUCUGGGGCAUCAUGAUUUAAGGAAGACUUCAAGUAAAAGAAGGAAUUUUAAUUGGAACUUAAAGGAAGCCACGGAGGUCAAUAGCUGGAGUAUGAGAAGACCAUUUCAGUCAUGGGUCAGGCAGAGAAAAUGCCCAGAGAGAUGCAGUGUCUUGUCUGUGGAACAGCCAGGUAGCCAGUGCCAUUGGAUCAAAGAGUAUAUCAGGAGGGCAAAGUAUAAGAAGACUGGAGAGAUUCCAGUGAAGAUAAAACCACUACAAAAAAUCAGUGCUAUAUUUUCUAAAUCAGAAGAUGCCUAUGAGAGGGAACAGCCUUGAAGUAGCCCUGGAUUUGGAGUCAGAGGACUUAAAACAAAAGACUGUGAUGUAGUAGUGUGGAAGAGGCAUGCAAGCAAAAGACAAGAAGCUGGAAAUUGAUCAGCUGUCAAUCAAAGGAAAUUUCCAUUUGGAAUGUGACUGGAAAAGCAGUUUGGAGCCAAGCCAAUGGUGACUUCCACAGUAGGCAGUGGGAAGGGUACUGAACUGGAGGUUAGGAUAUCUAGGUUCUAGUAUGAGUUCUACCACUGAGCGGCUGUGUGGCUUUGUUCAAGGUACUUCCCUUCUGGGACAUCAGUCUUGUGACCCUGAACAUUAGGGGCUUGGAUUACAUAAUUUCUUAGGUGCCUUCUAGGUGUGCCAUUUUGAGCCUCCAGGUUUAAUUAAAGAACCUUUUCAACUACUUCUGUUAAGCCUUUAUAACUUCUGGAUUGCUGUUGUUGUUGACAAUAAUUAGCUCUUAAAAAUUAUUUGUAGAAAAGUUAUUAUUUCUUCCUCAAAACUGGGAAGGAGUUAGGGAGAAAAUGUUUGGUGUUCCAGGGAAUGGGGUGGAGGGAAUACAUGAGUAGAUAGUAAACAAAAUAUCCAAUGUCCACAAAAGAGCAGGACAAUAAGCAAAUUCAUUAAUUAAACUUUGUGAAUUCCUCCAUUCAUAAGGCUGACUAUUUGCUUAAUUUAGACUAUCUGCCUUAAUCAUCGGUUUUACCACAUGAAAAUAUUUGAAGAGUCA
rnacentral:lncRNA from 1 species